rnacentral:rRNA from 1 species
AUUGAACGCUGGCGGCAUGCCUUACACAUGCAAGUCGAACGGCAGCACGGGAGCAAUCCUGGUGGCGAGUGGCGAACGGGUGAGUAAUAUAUCGGAACGUGCCCAGUAGUGGGGAUAACUGCUCGAAAGAGCAGCUAAUACCGCAUACGACCUGAGGGUGAAAGGGGGGGAGUCGCAAGACCUCUCGCUAUUGGAGCGGCCGAUAUCAGAUUAGCUAGUUGGUGGGGUAAAGGCCUACCAAGGCAACGAUCUGUAGUUGGUCUGAGAGGACGACCAGCCACACUGGGACUGAGACACGGCCCAGACUCCUACGGGAGGCAGCAGUGGGGAAUUUUGGACAAUGGGCGCAAGCCUGAUCCAGCAAUGCCGCGUGCAGGAAGAAGGCCUCGGUUGUAACUAGC